GGUGGUGCAUGGUUGUCGUCAGCUCGUGUCGUGAGAUGUUGGGUUAAGUCCCGCAACGAGCGCAACCCCUACGUUUAGUUGCUAACGCGUGAAGGCGAGCACUCUAGACGAACUGCCGUUGACAAAACGGAGGAAGGUGGGAUGACGUCAAAUCAUCAUGCCCCUUAUGUUCUGGGCUACACACGUGCUACAAUGGCCGGUACAGACGGACGCAAAGCCGCGAGGUGGAGCAAAUCCUAAAAAGCCGGUCUCAGUUCGGAUUGCAGGCUGCAAUUCGCCUGCAUGAAGUCGGAAUCGCUAGUAAUCGCAGGUCAGCAUACUCGCGGUCCGAAUACGUUCCGGCCUU
rnacentral:rRNA from 1 species